AACUUAUUUUUAUUAACUUACCUUAUUAAUAUUGAUUACUUGUGCAAGUUAAAAUCAUAUCAUAUACAUAUAUUUAUGACAAUACAAAUUUAAUAUCUUUCGACACAUGCCCAUAUUGGAACGACGCCGUUUAUGCUUCAUAGUAAAACCCUAGACUCGAGUAGCUUUGUGUGACUUGACUAUAUAUACAACGGCCAGACUUGGCUUCGAAACAAAAUAACAUGCGUCGUCAGCUCUAUUCUCUGAAGUUAAUUGCUUUAUGAUCUUCUUCUGUUUUGUUGUUCUGUUGCUAUGUUAUCUUUUGUUGUUCUUGAUGGUGGUAGUGGUGGAAUGUGAUGAUACGUAAUUGUCGCCCCAGUCUUAUUUGCAUUCAUUACGAUGGAUGUAACAUGGUGAUUGACUUUUCAUUAUCUGAUUUCAUCAAAUGGUUUUCUUGAUCCAAUAGUUUCAAUAUUUCAAUAUUUUAUUUUGGUUUCUUUGAUCUUUUUGAAGAAGAGGAAUGAGGAUAAUUUAUCCAACGUCUAUUAAGUCUGAACAAUAGUGUUGAACCAAUGACAUGCACUACCAUCUGACCUCUUCGUUACCUAAAUUAAUUUAGUAAAAUCUUUUUUAUUUUUUCUUUCGUUUUCAUUAAUUAAUGUUUGGUUAAAUGAAUGAAUGCCUAGAUGUAUCUGAUGUCCAAAGUUAUAAAAGUAGUUGGACAUUUCAAAAUUCAAGGCGUAGAUUGAAUUUUAAAAUAGGUUUUGCGAAACUGAUUGCUUUCUCUUGAUAAGCUCUCUGUUACUGUACCCCUGUUUAUAUCUUCCCACUUAUGUAUUCUUUGUUUUGUUUUUACUAUGUUUUGGUUAAACAUGUUGGUGUGCCUUCAAGGAACUAUGUAUUUCCUAAUAACUCUGGUUAGUCUGGUUAGCUAGAAUCCGGAAAGUCCCAAAAAUAAUAACAAGAGACCGAGGUAUUACAAUAGACUCCUGAAAAUAAGAUUUGUCCGUCGACGGAAAUCAAUAUACAGUUCCAAGUACGGUUACACUGUUUCAAAAAGAUGAAAAGAAAUACAUUGAUGAAUGAGCAAUCUUGAAGAAGACACUUUGUUUUCACACAAAGAAUCUCUGGUGUCAACGAGGUUCUAACUCUUGCCGAGCUCCGCCGUGUUCCCAUUCCGAGCUUCAAGGUCAAAGAUUUGACACUUGAGACAAUGAUCUCUCAAUAUUCAAUUCCUGGUAUAGUCAGGGUGCUACAAAAUCCACCUGAAUUGAAGAAGCUAUCAACAAUACACAAAAUGGAGUUUGGCACCAUACCGGAGGAGUAUAUUGACACGUAGUUGGAUUUGCAAAGCUUGAAUGGGGAUCAGCGUUGGAGCUUGGAAGCGAGGAUCUUUGAGAAACUAAGUCAUUGGAAUGUAGAGUCGAGACACGUGGCUUCCUUCAUGGAACUUAUGUUAAAAAAAAACAAAGACAUUAGAGAAGAUGGUCGUUUGGUUUUAUAGUUAUCUUAAAGAGCAAACUUUUGAAGAGUUGCCUGAUAUGGUUCCAAUGCUCGCUGACAAGAACAAUAUCUCCAUAGUGCUCCAUCUAUUCAAGCCGAAUCACAGGGUUUUUUAGUCUUGGAUCUUUUUUCUUUUACCAAAAUAGUCUUGGAUCUUAUGAUAAUAUCUUUGAACGUGAAUUUGAACCCUAAUUUACAUUUUCUUAAAAGAUUUUUCUUUAAACUUUAAAACGAAAAACUACAUAAACCAU